rnacentral:rRNA from 1 species
GAUGAACGCUAGCGGGAGGCUUAAUACAUGCAAGUCGAGCGGCAAGGUCUUCGGACCCUAGAGCGGCGCACGGGUGAGUAACGCGUACGCAAUCUGCCCUUCAGUGAGGAAUAGCCCCGGGAAACUGGGACUAAUACCACAUAAUAUUGUUUGUUCGCAUGGACGAAUAAGUAAAGUUCUGGCGCUGAAGGAUGGGCGUGCGUCUGAUUAGCUAGUUGGUAGGGUAACGGCCUACCAAGGCGACGAUCAGUAGGGGGCGUGAGAGCGUGACCCCCCACACGGGUACUGAGACACGGACCCGACUCCUACGGGAGGCAGCAGUAAGGAAUAUUGGGCAAUGGAGGCAACUCUGACCCAGCCAUCCCGCGUGAAGGAUUAAGGCCCUAUGGGUUGUAAACUUCUUUUGUUUGGGAAGAAAUCAGGACAUUUAUGUGCUGUUGACGGUACCUUACGAAUAAGCACCGGCUAACUCCGUGCCAGCCGCCGCGGUAAUAC